rnacentral:lncRNA from 1 species
CCGCCCACCGCCCCUCUUCCCUUACGGACCCUCAGCAAUAGCGGCUCCCGGGUUCGGUGCCUCCCGGGGAGUUCGUAACGGGGUGAGGCGGAGGGCCGCGGAGGUCCGAGGAGGUGAGCGUCGCCCUGUGCCCGCGGACGGAGGGGCCCGGUGCGUGCCGUGACUUUCCGUCAGCGCCGUAAGACGUGGAUUACGGUCACCGAGAGCGUUCUUUCAACGGUCUGCUUUCUACGGCGAGAUGCCGGCCGGCUGAGUCAGUGCUGAUUCACGGGAGAAGGCCGCACCGCACCGGGAGCGAAGGCGAACGGCAGGAAGGCAGCGCGUCCGGCCCCGCGAGCUGCCGGGGCGGAGCGGGCGGGACGGGGCCGGUGGGUAACCGCGCCGGAAAGCCCCCAAAGAGCCCGGGGGGGUUACCGAGAAGCUGCGGGACCGCCUACAGAACGGCUUCGAGCUUCAGGGCGGCCUCAGCACCACUGAAGCGGCCCCGGCUGAGCGACUGCGGGGCCGGGGCGUGGGUUAGGAACGCCGCGGCGGAACGGAAGACAGACGGUUUCCUCCUUCUCCCCCGUGCGCCUCAGCUUCUCGUUUAGAACACAAAAUCCCCGCGUCACAGCACGGAUCGGGAUGCUGGAAGCAGCCGCCCCGGGGCGCGGGCAGACCUCCCGUUGGCGGCUCCCUGCUGCAGCAGCUGAUGCCAUUGCCGACGUGCCCUCUGCGGCACCCACCGGCGCUGUCUCCGCACGCAGGAAGCAUCAGUGGAAACACCAGAACUAAUUUUACCUCCACCAGCGGCUGGCCCUUCUAUUUCCAAGUGUUUGACCUUCACACGACAUGCUCCCAGCAUGAGUAACGGGACGUUAAUUACAAAACAAAGCUCCCAAACCCAGCGAAGUUGCUUGAAAGCCUCUAGAUUGCUUGCAGUGUGAGCAGCAGGAAAGUCAGACACUGGGAUAGAGGGAACCCCGUCCCCUCUGGCUUGGUGAUAUUGGCCACCUCGCUGACCUGUGUCAGCUUAAGCUCCAGUCCUGUAAUGACUUCUAUUUGGAUAAGCAUCUGGAUGCAAAUUAACUCUCUAUGCUUCUUUCCUACAGGAAAUGGCUAAUGCAGCUUGCUCGUUACAUCAUUUCGUAUUUUAACACCCCUACUAAUUAGUAACUCAUUGUAAUUUAUUGUUGGGUUUACAGAAAGGGCGUAACUCACUUGAAAAACGUUCAGAAUGUUUUACAACAAACACCAUCUAUCUUCUGGGGAGCCACAAGUGUGUACAGUGUGAUAAAGGCAAAGGACAAAGUAGCAGAGGAACACGUGAUAGAAACGAAGUUUCAUCAACAGUAGCACCUAACAAAUGAGGCUCAUUAAAAGAAUAUUUCUCCAGCUGCCCGCAUCCCCUGGAUACAUGAGCCUUAAAGCAGAGGAAGUAAUGGUGAGAUAAGAAGAGAGAGGGCACAGACAAAACACCGAGUGACUAAUUGUGCUGUAAGGAACGUCCUGAACUAAGAUUCCCUGGGGUGAGCAGAGGCUUGAGAGUUUGCAUGACCUUGGCUAUCAGCACGGAAAUACACAGCUACCCAUCACAGAAGGGUCACGCCUUCCUCUGUAAUUUACUUUUCCCUCAGCUCUCAUACUGUGACCACGCAGUGGCUUAACAGAACGUAGUGAUCAGUGCAUCCACUAUGUCCUUUGCAGCAACAGAAGCGCUUCUUCAACAAGCCUGGAUGGAGAUAUCUACUUUUCACUGGUUAUGGAUGCAGGCAAUGAAAUACUCAAUCAGGAGAGGGCAGAAGUCUUUUUUCUUUCUUUGACAGUAUAACGCAAAACAUUUGUUUUUAUUAUCUUGUGUGAUUUAGUAAAGCUUUGUAGAGUUGUUGUUUUUUUUUCCCCUCUUAUUUUUCUUUAAUACUUGUAGAUCUGCAGCAAAGAGAACUGCGGUUGGAUUGAUGCAUGAUUUUAUUCACUCCAAUUGCAUUAGUGUGGCACAAAAGAGCUAAGUCUAGAAUUCUGACUCAUAAACACUUAAUUUUUCUUUCCCGAGUCUUUCUCAUUAUUAUAGCAAGAAGCAUCAGAUUUUACUGGCAAGAUCAAGUGCCAGCUAAACCCAGAAGAGAACCCAGAGACACAAAGAGA